AAAUUGAAGAGUUUGAUCAUGGCUCAGAUUGAACGCUGGCGGCAGGCCUAACACAUGCAAGUCGAGCGGUAGCACAGAGAGCUUGCUCUCGGGUGACGAGCGGCGGACGGGUGAGUAAUGUCUGGGAAACUGCCUGAUGGAGGGGGAUAACUACUGGAAACGGUAGCUAAUACCGCAUAACGUCGCAAGACCAAAGUGGGGGACCUUCGGGCCUCAUGCCAUCAGAUGUGCCCAGAUGGGAUUAGCUAGUAGGUGGGGUAACGGCUCACCUAGGCGACGAUCCCUAGCUGGUCUGAGAGGAUGACCAGCCACACUGGAACUGAGACACGGUCCAGACUCCUACGGGAGGCAGCAGUGGGGAAUAUUGCACAAUGGGCGCAAGCCUGAUGCAGCCAUGCCGCGUGUGUGAAGAAGGCCUUCGGGUUGUAAAGCACUUUCAGCGGGGAGGAAGGCGGUGAGGUUAAUAACCUCAUCGAUUGACGUUACCCGCAGAAGAAGCACCGGCUAACUCCGUGCCAGCAGCCGCGGUAAUACGGAGGGUGCAAGCGUUAAUCGGAAUUACUGGGCGUAAAGCGCACGCAGGCGGUCUGUCAAGUCGGAUGUGAAAUCCCCGGGCUCAACCUGGGAACUGCAUUCGAAACUGGCAGGCUAGAGUCUUGUAGAGGGGGGUAGAAUUCC
rnacentral:rRNA from 1 species